rnacentral:rRNA from 1 species
UGGGGAAUAUUGCACAAUGGGGGAAACCCUGAUGCAGCGACGCCGCGUGAGCGAAGAAGGUUUUCGAAUCGUAAAGCUCUGUCCUAUGAGAAGAUAAUGACGGUAUCAUAGGAGGAAGCCCCGGCUAAAUACGUGCCAGCAGCCGCGGUAAUACGUAUGGGGCGAGCGUUGUCCGGAUUUACUGGGCGUAAAGGGUGCGUAGGUGGUCCUUCAAGUCGGUGGUUAAAGGCUACGGCUCAACCGUAGUUAGCCUCCGAAACUGGAAGACUUGAGUGCAGGAGAGGAAAGUGGAAUUCCCAGUGUAGCGGUGAAAUGCGUAGAUAUUGGGAGGAACACCAGUAGCGAAGGCGGCUUUCUGGACUGCAACUGACACUGAGGCACGAAAGCGUGGGUAGCAAACAGG